UGUUAACCCUCUCUCGGACUCUGGGCCUCGAUGGGAAAAACUAGGCCCUGAGAUUGCAGAAAAGGCCUGUGGAAAAAUACCAGCUGCAGCUCUCCCGGGCAGAUGCAGAAAGAGAGGGAGAGCUAGCUAACUGCUGUCUCGCCUCUGCUUCCCAAGGAGGCGUGGACCUUCUGAAUCCAGGGCAUACAGGCAGUGUCUGAGAAGCCAUUUAAAUCCAGAGGGACGGAGAACGAUGUCAAACCCGGCCAGGAAACAAGAACCUUCAUUAUAGUCAGGCCUACACACCCACAGGUGACAACUGCAGACUUCUGGGCUGUCACAAUGGGAGAAGAGCUGACUGCUGACAUCGUGAGUAGAAACCAGAGACACAGUAAAAACACUGCCAUGACCCCCACACUGCCGGGAAGUGCCAGACCCAGAAUGCACUUUGUGCUGAGGUUGGGAGUCUGCAAUAAAACAAGGGAAGGGAAAAAAAAAAAACAACCAUCAUGUUUCUGCAUCGAAAGCCGGCACCGCUAAACAAGUAUGCUCCUCCAUGAUAUUAAUAAGUAAUGAGCUAAUAAAAUUGUAUUAAAACA